AGCGAACGCUGGCGGCAGGCCUAACACAUGCAAGUCGAACGAACCUUUCGGGGUUAGUGGCGGACGGGUGAGUAACACGUGGGAACGUGCCUUUAGGUUCGGAAUAACUCAGGGAAACUUGUGCUAAUACCGAAUGUGCCCUUCGGGGGAAAGAUCUAUCGCCUUUAGAGCGGCCCGCGUCUGAUUAGCUAGUUGGUUGAGGUAAUGGCUCACCAAGGCGACUAUCAGUAGCUGGUCUGAGAGGAUGAUCAGCCACAUUGGGACUGAGACACGGACCAAACUCCUACGGGAGGCAGCAGUGGGGAAUCUUGCGCAAUGGGCGAAAGCCUGACGCAGCCAUGCCGCGUGAAUGAUGAAGGUCUUAGGAUUGUAAAAUUCUUUCACCGGGGACGAUAAUGACGGUACCCGGAGAAGAAGCCCCGGCUAACUUCGUG
rnacentral:rRNA from 1 species